GAUGAACGCUGGCGGCGUGCUUAACACAUGCAAGUCGAACGGAAAGGCCCAAGCUUGCUUGGGUACUCGAGUGGCGAACGGGUGAGUAACACGUGGGUGAUCUGCCCUUCACUUCGGGAUAAGCCUGGGAAACUGGGUCUAAUACCGGAUAGGACCACAUUUUGGAUGGUGUGGUGGAAAGUUUUUCGGUGUGGGAUGAGCUCGCGGCCUAUCAGCUUGUUGGUGGGGUAAUGGCCUACCAAGGCGUCGACGGGUAGCCGGCCUGAGAGGGUGUACGGCCACAUUGGGACUGAGAUACGGCCCAGACUCCUACGGGAGGCAGCAGUGGGGAAUAUUGCACAAUGGGCGCAAGCCUGAUGCAGCGACGCCGCGUGGGGGAUGACGGCCUUCGGGUUGUAAACUCCUUUCGCUAGGGACGAAGCGUUUUUGUGACGGUACCUGGAGAAGAAGCACCGGCUAACUACGUG
rnacentral:rRNA from 1 species